ACCGGCAGUUCUAGUGGUAGCAGUUAUUAUUGGGCCUAAAGCGUCCGUAGCCGGUUUAAUAAGUCUCUGGUGAAAUCCUGUAGCUUAACUAUGGGAAUUGCUGGAGAUACUAUUAGACUUGAGAUCGGGAGAGGUUAGAGGUACUCCCAGGGUAGAGGUGAAAUUCUGUAAUCCUGGGAGGACCGCCUGUUGCGAAGGCGUCUAACUGGAACGAUUCUGACGGUGAGGGACGAAAGUUAGGGGCGCGAACCG
rnacentral:rRNA from 1 species